UGUGAUAGAGUGUGGUCGGAGCCAGAGAUCAUUUCGUGGCCAGGCUCCCAGUGGGACAUCCUCCAAAACCUUGUGGCUAAUACACGUUCGCCCAGGUCGGCCGUGGGAACGUCUGUCUCGACAACCGAGAGUGCGCCUUCGGGUGGCUCCGUCGACCCUCGCAGUCGACGGCCGAUUGCGCCCAGCCGAUCGAAAGAUCAGCGCCCCAUCACAGUCAGGGGCAGCGUUCCUGGUGGCUGACUCAGGCUGGUCCCCCUUCCACAGUCAUAUCUCGUGGGGACGGUCGCUCUGGCAGAGUUUGUGGCGGUGUCCCUUCGCGGACCCGCCUGUGGCAUUGCUUGAUCACACGAACUUCUGACCUAUCAGCUGGGAUUGUGGUGUAGUGGACCACAAUGGCGGUGACGGGUAACGGAGAAUCAGGGUUCGAUUCCGGAGAGGGAGCCUGAGAAAUGGCUACCACUGCCAAGGCGGGCAGCAGGCACGCAAAUUGCCCAAUGGAGAAACACAGUCCGAGGCAGCGACGAACCGUAGCAAUCCUGCUGGGAUUCUUCCCCAGUGGGACUUGGAAUGGAUGCAAUCCAAACACAGUGAUGAGUAUCAACUGGAGGGCAAGUCUGGUGCCAGCAGCUGCGGUAAUUCCAGCUCCAAGCGCGUAUACUAAUGUUGCUGCUGUUAAAACACCUGUAGUC
rnacentral:rRNA from 1 species